rnacentral:tRNA from 3 species
GGAAGGGUGCCAGAGUGGACGAUUGGAGCGGUCUUGAAAACCGUCGAGGGUUCACGCCCUCCGUGGGUUCGAAUCCCACCCCUUCCGCCA